UGUAAGCGUAUACCAAAGUUGUUGCAGUUAAAACGCUCGUAGUCGGAAUUUGGCAGUUCCGGAUGUGUGCACGUCGUGUGCGCGCUUUGCGGGAAUUGCUUUUGUGGGUGUGCGUCAGAUGAGGGCUGUUAAUUCGUGUACGUCUGUACGCAACCACUUUUUACUGUGAGAAAAUCAUAGUGCUCAAAGCAGGCAUUUGCCGUGAAUGUAUUAGCAUGGAAUAAUAGAAUAGGACUUAGUCUUAUUUUGUUGGUUUGUUAGGACCGAGUAAUGAUUAAGAGGGACAGUUGGGGGCAUUUGUAUUUCGGCGCUAGAGGUGAAAUUCUUAGAUUGCCGAAAGACAAACUGCUGCGAAAGCGUCUGCCAAGGAUGUUUUCAUUGA
rnacentral:rRNA from 1 species